UACAGAGGUCUCAAGCGUUGUUCGGAUUCAUUGGGCGUAAAGGGUGCGUAGGCGGCGCGGUAAGUCGGGUGUGAAAUCUUGGAGCUUAACUCCGAAACUGCAUUCGAUACUGCCGUGCUUGAGGACUGGAAAGGAGACUGGAAUUUACGGUGUAGCGGUGAAAUGCGUAGAUAUCGUAAGGAAGACCAGUGGCGAAGGCGGGUCUCUGGACAGUUCCCGACGCUGAGGCACGAAGGUCAGGGGAGCAAACGGG
rnacentral:rRNA from 1 species